UACGGAGGGAGCUAGCGUUGUUCGGAAUUACUGGGCGUAAAGCGCGCGUAGGCGGCUUUGUAAGUUAGAGGUGAAAGCCCGGGGCUCAACUCCGGAACUGCCUUUAAUACUGCCAGUCUCGAGUCCGGAAGAGGUAAGUGGAACUCCUAGUGUAGAGGUGGAAUUCGUAGAUAUUAGGAAGAACACCAGUGGCGAAGGCGGCUUACUGGUCCGGUACUGACGCUGAGGUGCGAAAGCGUGGGGAGCAAACAGG
rnacentral:rRNA from 1 species